rnacentral:rRNA from 1 species
CCUACGGGUGGCAGCAGUGGGGAAUAUUGCACAAUGGGCGGAACCCUGAUGCAGCGACGCCGCGUGGGUGAAGGAGCGUUUCGGCGCGUAAAGCCCUAUCGGCAGGGAAGAAGAUGAAGGUAACUGACCAAGAAUCCCCGGCUAACUACGUGCCAGCAGCCGCGGUAAUACGUAGGGGGCACGCUUUAUCAGGAUUGACUGGGUGAAAAGGGGGCGCAGACGGCAAUGCAAGCCAGGAGUGAAAGCCCGGGGCCCAACCCCGGGACUGCUUUUGAAACUGCAUGGCGUGAGUACAGGAGGGGAAGGCGGAAUUCCGAGUGUAGCGGUGAAAUGCGUAGAUAUUAGGAGGAACACCAGUGGCGAAGGCGGCUUGCUGGUCUUUUACUGACGCUGAGGCUCGAAAGUGUGGGGAGCAAACAGGAUUAGAUACCCGGGUAGUC